ACUGCAACAACUCAUCAUCAGCAGGGUAAAACUAACAUGUCUCUCCACGGUCUAAUCCAGCUCACGUUCCCGAUUAGUGAGCAAUCUAACGCUUGGAGAAUUC